UGGGGAAUAUUGGGCAAUGGGGGAAACCCUGACCCAGCAACGCCGCGUGAAGGAAGAAGGCUUUCGGGUUGUAAACUUCUUUGACGAGGGACGAAAAAAAUGACGGUACCUCGAGAACAAGCCACGGCUAACUACGUGCCAGCAGCCGCGGUAAUACGUAGGUGGCAAGCGUUGUCCGGAUUUACUGGGCGUAAAGGGCGCGUAGGCGGGAUUACAAGUCAGAUGUGAAAUGCCAGGGCUUAACCCUGGAGCUGCAUUUGAAACUGUAGUGCUUGAGUAUCGGAGAGGCAGGCGGAAUUCCUAGUGUAGCGGUGAAAUGCGUAGAGAUUAGGAGGAACACCAGUGGCGAAGGCGGCCUGCUGGACGACAACUGACGCUGAGGCGCGAAAGCGUGGGGAGCAAACA
rnacentral:rRNA from 1 species